GGAAUUUUGCGCAAUGGGCGCAAGCCUGACGUAGCAACGCCGCGUGGAGGAAGAAGGCCCUCGGGUCGUAAACUCCUGUCCUUGGGGACGAAUCAAGUGACGGUACCCUUGGAGGAAGCCCCGGCUAACUCCGUGCCAGCAGCCGCGGUAAUACGGGGGGGGCAAGCGUUGUUCGGAUUUACUGGGCGUAAAGGGCGCGCAGGCGGCGCCGGAAGUCCUGGGUGAAAGCUCCCGGCUCAACCGGGAGAGUGCCUGGGAAACCACGGUGCUGGAGUGCCGGAGAGGGAAGCGGAAUUCCUGGUGUAGCGGUGAAAUGCGUAGAUAUCAGGAGGAACACUCGAGGCGAAGGCGGCUUCCUGGACGGACACUGACGCUGAGGCGCGAAAGCUAGGGGAGCAAAC
rnacentral:rRNA from 1 species